rnacentral:miRNA from 1 species
GUUCAAAUCUGAACCGAAAAUGCAAGACUUGCUUUAAUUGUUUUCUGUCAGUGUUUAUAUGUAUUGAUCUAGCACAGUGUAAAUAACAUGAGUUCCAUUAUAGUAAAUAAUACAGAAAGAAAUUGAAGGAAAACAAUUAAAGCAAGUCUUGCAUUUUCGGUUCAGUUUUGAAC